UACGAAGGGGGGCUAGCGUUGCUCGGAAUCACUGGGCGUAAAGCGCACGUAGGCGGAUCUUUAAGUCAGGGGUGAAAUCCUGGAGCUCAACUCCAGAACUGCCUUUGAUACUGAGGAUCUUGAGUCCGGGAGAGGUGAGUGGAACUCCGAGUGUAGAGGUGAAAUUCGUAGAUAUUCGGAAGAACACCAGUGGCGAAGGCGGCUCACUGGCCCGGUACUGACGCUGAGGUGCGAAAGCGUGGGGAGCAAACAGGG
rnacentral:rRNA from 1 species